CUUUUAGUUCCUGUUGGUAACCUUGGGCUCCAACUAUUCGAUAAGUUAACUAAUUGUUCUCAUGAAUGUUUCGGAAACAUGUUCUAAUGGAGUGACUGGUUCUCUGAAUUUCGAAACAAUGUCCCAUUGUCAACAACAAAAUCAAAGGCAAAGGGAUAGGUGAAAUUGACUUAGAAUUGGAUGCAAUGAUCGUCGCAAGAGGAUAAAUGACCCCAUAUCAUCUGAAAUUAAUAAUUCUAGCAUUGAAAGAGUGCAGCAAUCUAUAAUGCACCAUGAUUUUGAGGCUUCUACUUCAAACCAAGAGACACAUGAUAUUUCCAAUUCUGCAUUACGAAGUAGUUUUAAUGUACUGAACAUACCAAUGAUUUCAUAUGUAUUACCAACAUGCAAUAGCUAUAAAUAUUGUUGUGCAAGAAAAUUUUAUAGAGAAAGUAAAGGCUUCUAUUGCUCAGAUGGAA
rnacentral:lncRNA from 1 species